rnacentral:rRNA from 1 species
AGAGUUUGAUCCUGGCUCAGGACGAACGCUGGCGGCGCGCCUAACACAUGCAAGUCGAACGGAGCUUAGAGAGCUUGCUUUUUAAGCUUAGUGGCGAACGGGUGAGUAACGCGUGAGUAACCUGCCCUAGAGUGGGGGACAACAGUUGGAAACGACUGCUAAUACCGCAUAAGCCCACGGUACCGCAUGGUACUGAGGGAAAAGGAUUUAUUCGCUUUAGGAUGGACUCGCGUCCAAUUAGCUAGUUGGUGAGGUAACGGCCCACCAAGGCGACGAUUGGUAGCCGGACUGAGAGGUUGAACGGCCACAUUGGGACUGAGACACGGCCCAGACUCCUACGGGAGGCAGCAGUGGGGGAUAUUGCACAAUGGGGGAAACCCUGAUGCAGCGACGCCGCGUGGAGGAAGAAGGUCUUCGGAUUGUAAACUCCUGUUGUUGAGGAAGAUAAUGACGGUACUCAACAAGGAAGUGACGGCUAACUACGUGCCAGCAGCCGCGGUAAAACGUAGGUCACAAGCGUUGUCCGGAAUUACUGGGUGUAAAGGGAGCGCAGGCGGGAAGACAAGUUGGAAGUGAAAUCUAUGGGCUCAACCCAUAAACUGCUUUCAAAACUGUUUUUCUUGAGUAGUGCAGAGGUAGGCGGAAUUCCCGGUGUAGCGGUGGAAUGCGUAGAUAUCGGGAGGAACACCAGUGGCGAAGGCGACCUACUGGGCACCAACUGACGCUGAGGCUCGAAAGCAUGGGUAGCAAACAGGAUUAGAUACCCUGGUAGUCCAUGCCGUAAACGAUGAUUACUAGGUGUUGGAGGAUUGACCCCUUCAGUGCCGCAGUU